CACUGCCGAGAAAAGCCUCUAGAUAGAAAAUAGGUGCCCGUACCGCAAACCGACACAGGUAGUCAAGAUGAGAAUUCUAAGGUGAGCGAGCGAACUCUCGUUAAGGAACUCGGCAAAAUGACCCCGUAACUUCGGGAGAAGGGGUGCUCUUUAGGGUUAACGCCCAGAAGAGCCGCAGUGAAUAGGCCCAAGCGACUGUUUAUCAAAAACACAGGUCUCUGCUAAACCGUAAGGUGAUGUAUAGGGGCUGACGCCUGCCCGGUGCUGGAAGGUUAAGAGGAGUGGUUAGCUUCUGCGAAGCUACGAAUCGAAGCCCCAGUAAACGGCGGCCGUAACUAUAACGGUCCUAAGGUAGCGAAAUUCCUUGUCGGGUAAGUUCCGACCCGCACGAAAGGCGUAACGAUUUGGGCACUGUCUCAACGAGAGACUCGGUGAAAUCAUAGUACCUGUGAAGAUGCAGGUUACCCGCGACAGGACGGAAAGACCCCGUGGAGCUUUACUGUAGCCUGAUAUUGAAAUUCGGCACAGCUUGUACAGGAUAGGUAGGAGCCUUUGAAACGUGAGCGCUAGCUUACGUGGAGGCGCUGGUGGGAUACUACCCUAGCUGUGUUGGCUUUCUAACCCGCACCACUUAUCGUGGUGGGAGACAGUGUCAGGCGGGCAGUUUGACUGGGGCGGUCGCCUCCUAAAAGGUAACGGAGGCGCUCAAAGGUUCCCUCAGAAUGGUUGGAAAUCAUUCAUAGAGUGUAAAGGCAUAAGGGAGCUUGACUGCGAGACCUACAAGUCGAGCAGGGUCGAAAGACGGACUUAGUGAUCCGGUGGUUCCGCAUGGAAGGGCCAUCGCUCAACGGAUAAAAGCUACCCCGGGGAUAACAGGCUUAUCUCCCCCAAGAGUUCACAUCGACGGGGAGGUUUGGCACCUCGAUGUCGGCUCAUCGCAUCCUGGGGCUGUAGUCGGUCCCAAGGGUUGGGCUGUUCGCCCAUUAAAGCGGUACGCGAGCUGGGUUCAGAACGUCGUGAGACAGUUCGGUCCCUAUCCGUCGUGGGCGUAGGAAAUUUGAGAGGAGCUGUCCUUAGUACGAGAGGACCGGGAUGGACAUACCUCUGGUGUACCAGUUGUCGUGCCAACGGCAUAGCUGGGUAGCUAUGUGUGGACGGGAUAAGUGCUGAAAGCAUCUAAGCAUGAAGCCCCCCUCAAGAUGAGAUUUCCCAACUUCGGUUAUAAGAUCCCUCAAAGAUGAUGAG
rnacentral:rRNA from 1 species